GGCUACACACGUGCUACAAUGGGUAGUACAGAGAGUCGCAAAGCCGCGAGGUGGAGCUAAUCUCAGAAAACUAUUCUUAGUUCGGAUUGUACUCUGCAACUCGAGUACAUGAAGUUGGAAUCGCUAGUAAUCGCGAAUCAGCAAUGUCGCGGUGAAUACGUUCUCGGGUCUUGUACACACCGCCCGUCACACCACGAGAGUUGGUUGCACCUGAAGUAGCAGGCCUAACCGCAAGGAGGGAUGCUCCGAGGGUGUGAUUAGCGAUUGGGGUGAAGUCGUAACAAGGUAUCCGUACGGGAACGU
rnacentral:rRNA from 1 species